rnacentral:precursor_RNA from 1 species
AAGGGUUAAGAACCUUUGUACAGGCUUCUCUCAAGUGGGCCAAUUUGGUACCUAUAUCUAGGUAGCAUCUGGAGACUGGGAGUGUUUAUUCAUGACAGUU